rnacentral:rRNA from 1 species
GGCGAACGGGUGAGUAACACGUGGGCAAUCUGCCCUGCACUCUGGGACAAGCCCUGGAAACGGGGUCUAAUACCGGAUAUGAGCCUGGGAGGCAUCUCCCGGGUUGUAAAGCUCCGGCGGUGCAGGAUGAGCCCGCGGCCUAUCAGCUUGUUGGUGAGGUAAUGGCUCACCAAGGCGACGACGGGUAGCCGGCCUGAGAGGGCGACCGGCCACACUGGGACUGAGACACGGCCCAGACUCCUACGGGAGGCAGCAGUGGGGAAUAUUGCACAAUGGGCGAAAGCCUGAUGCAGCGACGCCGCGUGAGGGAUGACGGCCUUCGGGUUGUAAACCUCUUUCAGCAGGGAAGAAGCGAGAGUGACGGUACCUGCAGAAGAAGCGCCGGCUAACUACGUGCCAGCAGCCGCGGUAAUACGUAGGGCGCAAGCGUUGUCCGGAAUUAUUGGGCGUAAAGAGCUCGUAGGCGGCUUGUCACGUCGAUUGUGAAAGCCCGAGGCUUAACCUCGGGUCUGCAGUCGAUACGGGCUAGCUAGAGUGUGGUAGGGGAGAUCGGAAUUCCUGGUGUAGCGGUGAAAUGCGCAGAUAUCAGGAGGAACACCGGUGGCGAAGGCGGAUCUCUGGGCCAUUACUGACGCUGAGGAGCGAAAGCGUGGGGAGCGAACAGGAUUAGAUACCCUGGUAGUCCACGCCGUAAACGGUG